rnacentral:lncRNA from 1 species
CUCUCUUUGCUGAGAUGAAAGGCCCACGUUGUAGAGAACAUUCUCCACUCCUGAUAAACAGGAUAUCGGACUCCCCUUGGAGAUGAUGCCUGCUCACCUGAGUCCAUCCCAGAUCACAGGAAAUCCUGAAGGAACUCUGUGGCCAACCCAAUACAUCAUAAUACUAACGUCACCAGGCUAUUGGGAUGAUUAACUAAGAGCCAAAGACAUGGCCCUGGUGGAUGUGAGCGGUCCAAGUCCUCAGGCAGCGGCUCUCAGCCCUGGCAGGUGGUACAGAGCCCACACGGGAACUUGAAGGUAUUGCCUGGUCCAGCUCUACCUGUCCUGUCCAGGUCUCAUUGGUGAGAAAGUGUCCUGGCGUUGAUAUUCGUCAGAC